UUACGAGAGCUUGCUCUCGUAAAUUAGCGGCGGACGGGUGAGUAACACGUGGGCAACCUGCCUAUAAGACUGGGAUAACUUCGGGAAACCGGAGCUAAUACCGGAUAAUUCACAUCUACUCAUGUAGAUGUGCUGAAAGACGGUUUACGCUGUCACUUAUAGAUGGGCCCGCGGCGCAUUAGCUAGUUGGUGAGGUAAUGGCUCACCAAGGCCACGAUGCGUAGCUGACCUGAGAGGGUGAUCGGCCGCACUGGGACUGAGACACGGCCCAGACUCCUACGGGAGGCAGCAGUAGGGAAUCUUCCGCAAUGGACGAAAGUCUGACGGAGCAACGCCGCGUGAGUGAUGAAGGUUUUCGGA
rnacentral:rRNA from 1 species